AAGAUGCAAUGCCAGCUAUUUAGGACAGACACAUCCAAGGCCGUGUGAGAACUCAGUUAGGACUACAUAUGCGUUAACGCAGGAACUGGCAGGCCUCUGGGCUACGGCAACUAUAGGACUCGUGCUUCUUGUACACGGGGCUAUAAUUUAUGAAACGGAGCCCCAGAUCCAGCCAAUCAUUUAGCUCCUCAUAACAAGUCUGACUGGCUCUGGAAAGCUGAAAGGGCUGCGCUAGAGCAACAAGGAUGAGAUAGUCCACACAAUCGUCGGCUUCUCCGGAAUCACUUGGCCCUGCGAGGCCAGAGAAAAAUCACAGCUUCGCUGUCACAGGGAAGGAGGGCAGAUGACCCGGAAAAACGUGACUGGAUCUGGAGCGAGAGCUUUCUCGUCUGGCUUGGCAAUCCCACCCGUGCCUGCCUCAGAAGACGAAGCUGCACCCCCGCCCCCCCUGCCCAGAAAUCUAAAGGACAGCUACGGCAGCAAAACCUGAGGUUAUUGGCUGAAUUCAACGUGAGAUUUGAUGCCAAGAAGGAAAGCAUACCAGUACACAGAAAACAGAAAAAGUCUUCCAUUGGCAAUUCCCACCCCCAAGCACUGUUGCCUGCCAUGACUAGGGGAGAACCGAAAUUUCUCAGGAAGUGUAUUUGCCGAACCUGUUGUUCCCUUUACUGCAAGUGUCGGACUCCACCUCAAGCUACCUGAGAUCUUGGGACCAGUUUGCUUGCUGAUAGGCAACUGCCAAUACUUCACACGCUGACACUUUAGGGCCCGCAUCUUGGGAUGUCAACUCAAAGGGAAAUGGUUGCUUAGAAAAGUGGCUGCAAAAGGCUUGUCCCACUUUAACAAAGCCAAAAAUAAAAUUUAUAUUUAAAAAUAAAAUAAAAUAAGAUUUACAUUUAAAUAAAA